rnacentral:lncRNA from 1 species
UCAUCAUGAUAUCCAAAUAUAUGUAUUUGGAUGCUGCUCCGGAGUGAAUGACUUCCAUAACAUUGAACCCAGCCUCCUGCAGAGGGGGAGGUAGUCAGUUCACACCAGAAGGUGAAUCUGCCAAAAUUGCACUUCCUGAAAGAUGCCACGAGCCGUUGAAAUUUACACUUCUCCAAAUUGUGCAAUGCCAUUCUUCAACCCAGAGCUUUGCAAAAAGGUUUAUAUCAGCUACAUCCAUUUUAGAUUACUGUAGCACACCGUAACCUCUUGGGCUUGCCGAUCGGAAGGUCGGUGGUUCGAAUCCCCACGACGGAGUGAGCUCCCGUUGCUCUGUCCCAGCUCCUGCCAACCUAACAGCUUGAAAGCUCACCAGUGCAAGUAGAUAAAUAGGUACCGCUCUGGCGGGAAGGUAAAUGGCAUUUCUGUGUGCUCUGGUUUCUGUCACAGUGCUCCAUUGCACCAGUAGCAGUUUAGUCCUGCUGGCCACAUGACCCAGAAAAGCUGACUGUGGACAAACGCCAGCUCCCUUGACCUGAAAAGUGAGAUGAGUGCCGCAACCCCAGAGUCGCCUUUGGCUGGACUUAACCAUCAUGGGGUCCUUUAGCACACUCUGUAUGGGGUUGCCUUUAAAAGUGCUUGGAAACUUCAAUGGGUCCAAAGAGCUGUAGCCAGACUUUUGAGAAGGGCAGGUUACAGGGAGCAUACAACUCCCUUGUUGCAACAGCUUCACUGGCUACCUGUCUGUUUCCAAGCACAAUUCAAAGUGCUGGUUAUGAUCAUUGAAGCCCUAUAGCGCUUAGUCCCAGGCUACCUAAAGGAUUGUAUUCUCCCAUAAGAACCUGCCUGGGUUCUGAGAACUUUAGAGGGGGGGCUUCUCUCGGCCCCACCACCCUCACAGGCACACGGUAGGGAUGUGGGAGAGGGCCUUCUCGGUGACUUCUCCCAGACUUUGGAACUCCUUUCCUAGAGAAGGUAGACUGACUCCCUUCUAGUUCUCCUUCGGCCAUCAAGUGAAGACUAUUUUCAUUCUAUUAUACUUUAAUUACUUUUUAACUAUUACCAAUAUUUUUCAUAUGCUUUUAGCAUUUUAUGUGUGUUGUUUUAAUUUGUGUAAGUCCCCUUAAGUCCCAGUCUGCGGACAACUUGGGAGGAGGAGGAGGAAGAGCAGGAAAAGCAAAUAAUAAUAAUAGGAAAAAUUCACAGUAAAAUGCUGAUAAUUUUUCAUGGAGGCGUAAAAAAAAAUUGCAGUGGAAAUGUGGAGAACGGAGCUUAAUAUUGGAAAAAUGAGAUAAAUAAAAAUGGGUGGAUUUGCCUAUUCCUACCCCUAGUUAGUACCCAGUCUGUUAUGGAAACCAGUAUCCUAUGAGCAAGUCAGUUUGUCUGGGAUAAUGUACCGGUACCUCUGACCCUGGCUCCCCACAAAUACAGAAGCUAGCCAUCCCAGGCUAGAGAAUUUAUUUACCAGCUUUGUCCAACACAAGCAGUUGUUUUCAGUAACCAUGCAUGGCUUACAAUGGAGUUAACUGCAAUUUAAUGCUACUCUUUAAUUAAGCCUCAUUUAAACACCUUUAAGCAUUGCUUUUUAAAAAAGCAUUUGCAGAGUUAAUUGUUUUGCACAGCAAAAGGAAGACUUGUGCUUGUUUGCAUGGGGAAUUGUUCUAUCGGGCCUAGAAAACGCUCCGAGAGGUAUCCAGUCUGUUUUGUCAGUGUCGUUACAGAAUAUUCAACAAACUCCAGCAAAACAUGAAUCUGUGUCUUGGAGACUUAAAACUGCUGGAUACCACGACAAAAUUGUGUGUGUUGGUUUUAUUAUUAACUCUAGCUUUGAAUUAGAAUUCCCUAUAUUACAGCUUGGAGCUAAAGUCUGUUUACAAAACAGUAUUUACACUUGACUAAUUUUGCAGAUCAAAGUAAUUAAAUCAAUUAAACUGGUGAUUAACCAAAUGAAGGCUGAUUGCAAAAAUUAGUGGGUUUAUUUUGGAGGACUGGAAGUAAGCUAAUUACUGCAGUGAUUACUUGAACCUGGAGUACUCUAAAUGUGGUAUAAAUUGAAACCUCAUCGUGAAUCAGACUGGGAAUUCAUUGCAGUUUAAAGCACGGCUAAUACUAUUCAGGCUGCAGCUCCUCUGGGACAGUUUUGCUCUGUAUUUUGUAUACUGAUAAACAAUCACUUAGGCUGUGUCCUGCAUGAACAGUGGUGUCAUGUAUUGCAUGAAGAACACGUCUGAAUCGUAGUCAGCAAAUCUUGUCAACUGUCAACUGCUCUGUUCAAAAAAAUAUUGCGCCAUGGCAAAUGUAGUCCAGUUGACAAGAUGUCAAUCAUGUUGAACCUUUAAUCUUUUCCUUUAAAAAAAGGAAUGAUUUUAUUGCUUUUUUGAAAUGAACCACCACAAAUCUCACCCUCACUCACCCAGAAAUGAUUACAAAUGCAAAGGUAAUCUAAUAAAGUCCAUUGUGCAUUAUCUAAAUCGGCACCGUCAUGUUUUAUUACAUAUAAACAAUUUUGUAUUCCUCAGGUUUAGACUAACUUUGUUUAUCUGCGUCACAGGUGCUGAAUGUUCAGGAGAUUUUCCCUUAAGAAAAAGCAAAUAAACAUUUCUCUAUUUUAAAAAAGCCUUUAUAUUAUAGUUACAACAAUAAAUAACAUCAAACUGAUAUAAAACACAUGGC